rnacentral:rRNA from 1 species
GAUGAACGCUGGCGGCGUGCCUAAUACAUGCAAGUCGAGCGAACGGACGAGAAGCUUGCUUCUCUGAUGUUAGCGGCGGACGGGUGAGUAACACGUGGAUAACCUACCUAUAAGACUGGGAUCACUUCGGGAAACCGGAGCUAAUACCGGAUAAUAUUUUGAACCGCAUGGUUCAAAAGUGAAAGACGGUCUUGCUGUCACUUAUAGAUGGAUCCGCGCUGCAUUAGCUAGUUGGUAAGGUAACGGCUUACCAAGGCAACGAUGCAUAGCCGACCUGAGAGGGGGAUCGGCCACACGGGAACUGAGACACGGUCCAGACUCCUACGGGAGGCAGCAGUAGGGAAUCUUCCGCAAUGGGCGAAAGCCUGACGGAGCAACGCCGCGUGAGUGAUGAAGGUCUUCGGAUCGUAAAACUCUGUUAUUAGGGAAGAACAUAUGUGUAAGUAACUGUGCACAUCUUGACGGUACCUAAUCAGAAAGCCACGGCUAACUACGUG